UACGUAGGGGGCAAGCGUUGUCCGGAAUCAUUGGGCGUAAAGAGCGUGUAGGCGGCUUGGCAAGUCUCGCGUGAAAUCUUGCGGCUUAACCGCAAGCGGUCGUGAGAAACUGCCUGGCUAGAAUCCGGAAGAGGAGAGCGGAAUUCCUGGUGUAGCGGUGGAAUGCGCAGAUAUCAGGAGGAACACCAGUAGCGAAGGCGGCACUCUGGGCCGGUACUGACACUGAGGAGCGAAAGCGUGGGGAGCGAACAGG
rnacentral:rRNA from 1 species